CCUGGUGGUCAUGGCGAAGGGUAAACACCCGAUCCCAUCCCGAACUCGGCCGUGAAAACCUUCAGCGCCGAUGGUACUCCGUCUCAAGACGUGGGAGAGUAGGUCGCCGCCAGGU
rnacentral:rRNA from 1 species